UUUCUUUCUAAGAAAUUUGUGUUGUCUUCUCUCUAAGAAAACCACUCACUGAACCGAUAAAAAUUUUAACUGAAGGUACUAUAUCAUUCCUUGCACCAAGAUCUUCAUUUUGAACCAAACAGUUUCUCUGUUCGUCCCGGUUCUGUAAGUUCAGCGCGGUGUGGGUACGGUUCUAGGGCGUUCUUGACCUGUUACGGUUAAGCUUUCCAGAUGGGAGCAGAUGGCGAGGAGAUACUUUGGAAACAGCUCUUGAUGGGGGAAGGAAAUGUUGUUGCCUAGUUCUCUAGGCUUUAAUUAUCUUAUCCUAGGAUAUUAUGAAGAAACUUUGUCAUGUUCAAAGAUUUAAAUUCUCUGUAUUUUAAGGGAGAAACUCUAGUACUCCAAGUUUUCAAAUUGUACCGUUUAAGGAUGACUGCAAUCCUAUUACUCUUAACUACUUUCUAGUAUUAUUCAU